rnacentral:rRNA from 1 species
GCGAUCCCAGGUCAGGCGGGGCUACCCGCUGAGUUUAAGCAUAUCAAUAAGCGGAGGAAAAGAAACUAACGAGGAUUCCCUUAGUAGCGGCGAGCGAACCGGGAAGAGCCCAGCGUGAAAAUCGUCCGUCAUCGGCGGCCGAAUUGUAGUCUGGAGAAGCGUCCUCAGUGACGGACCGGACCCAAGUUCACUGGAAGGUGGCGCCGGAGAGGGUGAGAGCCCCGUCGUGUCCGGACCCUGUCG